GUACUUGCUCCGGCAGCACAUAUACUAAAACUGGAACGAUACACGGAGAAGAUCAGCAUGGCCCCUCUGCAAAGGUGAUGUGCAAAUUCGUGAAGUGUUCCAUAUUUUU
rnacentral:snRNA from 1 species